UGUGUCUCUCCCUGUCAGAUAAAGACAUAAAGUCUUUAAAAAGAAUAAAAAAUCGAAAAGAGAUGCCUUAUAACUGGUUCUCCGUAGGGUCCCAGGCUUAGCGCCGCUUCCAUACCACCUGUGCACUUGUUAAAAACACCAUUUUCAGGCUCCAGCCCCCAAACUUACAGAGUGCGGAGCUGGGGUGGGACGGGCCGGUCCCAGCCACAGUGUCUGAGCGAGCGCCCUGCCAGGUGAAUCUGCUGCCCACCCAAGUUUUGCCAACCAGGGAUUGAGAACUUAGAGCGUCCGUUUACUUGUUAGGGACCCGCCAAAGGCCUCAUCCUGGGAAGAUGCAGGCCGACCUCUGACUGGAAAGAGUCUGUUACCCGCGGAGCUGCACUCUCCAAGAACCCUCAGCAAGGUUACCAACUAAGCUCUUCCUCUGAAUGUGCAAACCACUUAAAUUAGGAUGGUGCUGACAUUCAACGUGUUUUUUCCCAUAUGAAUUAUGUCCUAAAAUAUACCAUAAUGUUCAUUUUCAAGAAAAAUGCCAAGACCACAAAGAAUGUGCAUUUUAAAAUUCAAAAUGGAAAACUGAAUUAUAACUAGUAGUUUCAUUUUUAUCUCAAGAUAGACUUUAAUGAAUAUCCUUUUGAAGUUUUUAAAAAUGUGACAUGUAAAAGGAUUUUGAGUGUUAGAUUUUCACACGUUAGAGCCGACUAGAAUAUACCAGAAUUAUGACCCAGUAAGAUUCUAGGCAGGGAAUCUGAAGUUAGAAAAGGUUAUUGGCUCAUUGGAGCUAUCACGUAGUCUGUGAAGAUGAUCCACAAUUUGAUUUGUCAUAGAUGAUCACUGGCCUGUGUUCCUGUCAUUUUCCCGAGAAACAAAGAGGAUGUCUAGCCUUCUGCAGAACAUAGAUUUGGACCUCAUUUGGACAGAUACACUCAAAAUGAUGAUUUCAAAUAAAAACAACAACAACAACAACAACAACAACAAAAAACCCGGUAUAAAAACAGGAUCUGUAGACUGGUUUUCAAAGAGAAGCAGCGCUGUGACCUCCCACCGCACCCGUGAGCCAUCCCGCUUCUGUUGCUCAGCUCACGCCUGUGCCUGGCCAGAGAGAGAAAGAGGGAGAGAGCGAGCGAGCACACAAGCAG